UAGUCCACGCCGUAAACGAUGGAUACUAGCUGUCCGGACUUCGGUCUGGGUGGUCCAGCGAAAGUGAUAAGUAUCCCACCUGGGGAGUACGUUCGCAAGAAUGAAACUCAAAGGAAUUGACGGGGGCCCGCACAAGCGGUGGAGCAUGUGGUUUAAUUCGAUGAUACGCGAGGAACCUUACCAGGGCUUAAAUGUAAGUUGCAUGAUCUAGAGAUAGGUCUUUCUUCGGACCACUUACAAGGUGCUGCAUGGUUGUCGUCAGCUCGUGCCGUGAGGUGUCAGGUUAAGUCCUAUAACGGGCGCAACCCCUGUUGUUAGUUGCCAGCACAUUAUGGUGGGAACUCUAACAAGACUGCCGGUGCAAACCGUGAGGAAGGUGGGGAUGACGUCAAAUCAUCACGGCCCUUACGUCCUGGGGCUACACACGUGUUACAAUGGGCGGUGACAGUGGGGCAGCUACUUCGCGAGAAGAU
rnacentral:rRNA from 1 species